GACGAACGCUGGCGGCGUGCCUAAUACAUGCAAGUAGAACGCUGAAGGAGGAGCUUGCUUCUCUGGAUGAGUUGCGAACGGGUGAGUAACGCGUAGGUAACCUGCCUUGUAGCGGGGGAUAACUAUUGGAAACGAUAGCUAAUACCGCAUAAUAGUAGAUGUUGCAUGACAUUUGCUUAAAAGUUGCAAUUGCAUCACUACCAGAUGGACCUGCGUUGUAUUAGCUAGUUGGUGGGGUAACGGCUCACCAAGGCGACGAUACAUAGCCGACCUGAGAGGGUGAUCGGCCAAACUGGGACUGGGACACGGCCCAGACUCCUACGGGAGGCAGCAGUAGGGAAUCUUCGGCAAUGGACGGAAGGCUGACCGAGCAACGCCGCGUGAGUGAAGAAGGUUUUCGGAUCGUAAAGCUCUGUUGUAAGAGAAGAACGAGUGUGAGAGUGGAAAGUUCACACUGUGACGGUAUCUAACCAGAAAGGGACGGCUAACUACGUG
rnacentral:rRNA from 1 species